UUGAAAGGGAAACGAUUGAAGUCAGUCGUACCUGCGGGUAAUCAGCCUUUUGGGCAUGAUUCUGUGGAGCGUGAGGAGUUAAACGCCUUCAUGCCUGCAUAUUCGUGUACUUUGGGUGUACUUGCCUGUGUGGUUAGUUAACAUCAAUUUUGGUUAUCAUAAAAUGGCUGGAGGAAUGUAGCUUCGAUUUCGAUUGAAGUGUUAUAGACUUCGGCAGAUGUGAUGAUCGGGAUUGAGGAUUGCAACGGAUACCCUUCGGGGCUACCUGUCUGACCUCUGAUCGUUGCUCUGGUGCCGAAAGCGUGCUUACGGUUAUCAAAGUCGAUGGUCAAUAGGUUAGAAUGGGUUAAAUUCGUUAAGGAUGUUGACGUA
rnacentral:rRNA from 1 species